GCGAGCAGCGAAGGCCAGCUCGAGCCGACGCCAGAGCUGCGGGUUCGAGAGGCUCCGCCUUCUUCGGCCACUUCGAGCCACUAGCGCCUCCGGGAACUUUUCCAGUCUGUCUUAGGCUGCGGUCACUGCUGAGGUUUUCAGAACUUUGCAGGAGAGGGCCCGCUAGGACCUCUGCCUUCAACCCACGCCUUGCCUGCCGCCUGCCUGGGACAUCCCCGAGUCCAGGAGAUCCCGCUCCCCGACGCCCCAACUUUUCCCGAACGGUCUGCGCUCCCAGACUGCCGAGCUCCUGUGCCAAGAGGCGUGCUGGUUUUCGGGGGCCGGCAACGCUCUCUCCCUCGGCUCGCCUUCCACCUUCCCCCGCGUGGGGCUGGGUGAGUCGGGAUCUGCGGUGCACUUGAGCGAUCCCAGAGCUCCGGAUUCGCUCCCGCCCCGGAGACGCCCUUCCAGGAGGGACUGAACCCGAGCGGUCCCGACCUCUUACUCCGAAACUCGAAUCGGCCCGGGUCUUUACCCUCCGAACUCCAGUGCCGUCGCGGAUCGGCCGGCGGAGCGUCCGGGCGCUCGAGACUUCGUGGCCUGUCGGGGGCUGCGCGUACCAUGGCCGGCUGCUGCUGCCUGUCCGCGGAGGAGAAGGAGUCGCAGCGCAUCAGCGCCGAGAUCGAGCGGCAGCUUCGCCGGGACAAGAAGGACGCGCGCCGCGAGCUCAAGUUGCUGCUUCUGGGAACUGGUGAAAGUCGC